rnacentral:rRNA from 1 species
UACAGAGGUCUCAAGCGUUGUUCGGAUUCAUUGGGCGUAAAGCGCACGUAGGCGGCUCGUUAAGUCGGGUGUGAAAGCCCCAGGCUCAACCUGGGAAGUGCACUCGAAACUGGCGAGCUUGAAUAUGGAAGAGGGUCGCGGAAUUCCCGGUGUAAGAGGUGAAAUUCGUAGAUAUCAGGAGGAACACCGGUGGCGAAGGCGGUUCUCUGGGCAUUACCUGACGCUGAGGAGCGAAAGUGUGGGGAGCGAACAGG